GUAGUCCACUGAAAUUUGGUUGUAGUUCUUCAUAUUACCAGCAGGGGGGGAAAUUUACUCUAAAGUCGGCUCUGGUUAGGUGAGACGAAAGUGAUGUCGAACAUAUUAUCCUUUGCGUAAUUCUUCUAAAAACGUGAAGAUAUAAGAUGUGAACAUUAUUGUUAGUAUCAGUUUUUUUAGUUCAAAAAUCAAAGUUUUUUGUCUUUCGUGGUUUUUAAAAUCAACUUCCGGGUCAGUAGAUGGCGGUAAAUAACGUAGAUAUACAGUGAAGAAGGUCAUAAAUGGAGGUGGACCUGGAGAAUUUCCCUAUCGCCUGAGCCGUGGCACAGGACCAGAUAAACCACAUGAAGACAGAUAAGGUGGGUAGGAACUGCUCUUAAGUUGCUUGCUGUGUCACCCAACCUGGGCAAACAGUAGCCUAUGUGUAGUUAAGUGUCAUAUAAUUCCAGUGAGUGAACCGCUAACUGAUAGCAGGCUAACUAGCUCAAGUGGUUAGCGCUCGUGUCUUUCGAUCCUGAUGUUAGAGCAUGGAAGUAAAGUUAGAAUUGUAUUUGUAAUGCUUUCUGUAAUCUUGCAAUUGAAUCGUCGUAUGACGAUUUUAAUUGAAGCGUCGUAUGAAUACGGGGACGGACAAAAAUGUCAGUUUCGAAAUCAUGUCGUGUCGGUAGCAGUUAACAUUUAACUGGUCGGUGGGUGAAGAUUUGGAGUUCGUGCUACUGCUACUAAAGAUCUGUUGUAAUAUGGUGGUCCUGGAAUUACCUGACUGUUAAGUGAAAUACAGUUCACUCAAAUUAACUAGGCUAUUGGUUUAUGGUUCAUGUUUGUUGGUUUCUGCACUGCAUGUGCGUUUCUUUAACUGCUUUUCUCCAACAUUUUUGCUUGCAGAUUGACAAGGCUGUGCUUACACUGAUGACUGAUGAGCAGCUUGCACGAUAUAUACCAACCUAUGGCGAUCGACUAGCUGUUGUCUCUUUUUGUCAUCAGCAGCGCCAUACACCUAACAGAGUGACCCUUUUGGAGAGGAUAAGGGAGAAGAUAGGGGACAGGAAGAUGUUGAAAACGGAAUGUCACACGCCAUCAGAAUCGCAUGGAUUGUCUAGAAAGUGCAACAAAAGUGGAGAAAAGGUGGUACGGAAGAUUGAAAUUGGGUGGCUUCACUAUUCAAAACCUCACUACACCCAGGUGAGAACGAGGCAUGGUGGUGGGACUAGACACACAACGGUUCCUAAAGAAACUACCGUGGAGCAGGUUCUAGAAACCGGAAAACAGCUGUUUUUCCCAAAUGGAUUUUGAGGACAAAUCUUCUGUGGAGGACGAAAGUGACUCAUCGACUGAAGAUUUAGAAGAUCUAAGCACAGGGAAUCUGAAUGCCAUUGUUUCAGACCCUGCAACAUCUGACUCAUCCACCAACAUUCCCAGUGAUCGGCAAGAGGAGGCCGACUUCAUUAUUAAUGUUGAUGACACCGCUUCAGAGCAGUCUUCUGAUUUGGACAUUACAGACAUAGAAGACACGAGCCCGAGGAGAGUCAAAGAUUCCAAUGCAGUCUCAGAGUCAGACACAGUAGAGUGGUGUUCGGAUUAUGAGGCUGCUUCAGAGGAUGAGGUGACAGUCCAAAUAAGAUGUUCAAAUGUUUUACAGGUAAUUAAUGUUAAUAGUACCUAAUGAGAAAGGGGUCAAAUUUCAGGGAAGCAUGUAACCAACAAUCUUAUAAAAUGUUGGGAGUGCUUAUUCUGAAUAGCUGUGAUUCUAAACUCCAGUUUAAACUGCUAAUUAGCACGUUAGUAUAGAUGGUUCCUUUGAAUACCCUUUUUGACCACGAUGGCAUUAGAAUCACAGAAAGUCUAGGCCUGUAUGCAUUAGGCUUCACAUUUAGUAAGCAAUUGCAGGAUCACAUUCCCUCAUUUUUGAAGGAGGUUUUUUGUGAUCAUAUACAUCUCUGCACUCUUAACACCCACCUGAAUGAUAAAAAAAACAUUAACAUUUGAAGAAAAUUUAGCUUUAAGUGCUUUACAUUUACAGAUAAUUUACCAGUUUUUAUUUACCAGUCUCCCCAAGAGCAACUUAAGGUUAAGUGCCUUGCUCAAGGGCACAAUGGUGGCAGCUUCGAAACCACAAAUUCCAGGCUACUAGCAUGUUAGCCAGGUUCCUUAACGACUAUGCUACCAGAGCCCCAGUGCUUGCGAAGAUAAAAAAGACCAUGAUAUUUAAGACCAUUUCCACUUUGUUCUGGACCAUUUCAAUUGUUCUGGGCUUUACAUGGUCAACUCAUUUUGCAUGGUUUCACAUGACAUCACCAAGUGAGAUUGUGUUGGUUCUGCUGGGUUCUAUGUUUAGAAAGUUGUCAUUUCUAUUUUGGUGUGCCAGUGAAUUUUUGAUAAAUGUGAUGUCUCCCGUUUUUGUACCUCAAACAUGCUGCAGUUCCUCAUGCAAUGACUCUUUUGUGUUCUGUCUUCGUCUUCCAGUCGAGAGAACAGCCGAAUGCUCCUGCCCAUGCAUCACCUGAUUCCUCUGUCCAAUCAAUAGCUGCCAUCUCAGGGCCCACAGAGGGUUUUCGUCGAGCUUCAAUUAAGGUUAUGUGAUAUUAUUUUGAAGUUUAGUAUUUCUAUUUUGAAGUUAUGCUAUUGAAUGUUGGGGAAAAUGUCAUGUCUCAAACAGUUUGGACCUUAACCAUGCUGUAGUUCUUCAUACAGUGACCCUUUUAUUGUGUUCUGUGUUCGCCUUCCAGUCGAGAGAACUACUGCCGACUGCUCCUGCCCACGUAUCACCUGAUUCCGUCCAGGCAUCAACUGCCAGCUAUGGGGCCACAGAGGGUUUUCGUCGAGCUUCAAUUCGCAGAAUUAAUGUGGUCGAAGAUGUUCUGUCUGUGUUUAUGGACAGUAGUAUCAUUUCUUUGUUUUUGAAGAUGGAUUUUGUUAAUGAAAAUGCUGUUGAUGAUUCAGGGGUUUCGCGGGAGGUGUACACUGCAUUUUGGGAGAUGUUUCUUCAGCAGUGUGAUGGGGAAACUGAGAGGGUCCCAAGGCUGAGGCCUGAUUUCUGUCAUGGUGAAUGGCAAGCGGUUGGACGUGUGUGGGUGAAGGGGUUACUAGAUCUUGGUGUACUUCCAGUGAUGCUUUCAAAGGCCUUCAUGGUAGCGUGCAUCCAUGGUAUGGAUUCGGUAGAUGUAGACCUGCUCAUUAUGUCGCUUUCUCAACUACUUGCCUCCAGUCGAGAGGGCAGCUGUGGAAAGGGCUCUUGAGGGGAGGAUGGAGGAAGACGAUGAAGAUGAUUUGCUUGAGCUUUUUUCACGAAUGGGCUCACAUUCUCUUCCACCAAAAGAUAAUAUGAGAACAGCCAUUGAAUCCAUGGCUCACAAAGCCAUUCUGCAGGAGCCUAAAUUUGUCAGAGAUAGCUUCAGUACAGUUAUCUUGGUUGUACAGCAAAACCUUCCUGACAAAGAAAGUGUGUUGGCUCUUUACGGGUCCAAAAAGGCCACAGGCAAACGAGUAGUGCAGUUGUUGGACAGAACAAAUGUUGUCCUUAGUCGGAGAGAACAGAAUGUGUUCAGUUAUCUCCAACGUUACAUUAAAAAUGCCGACCAAACAAAGGCGGAGAAAUUCCUACGCUUCUGCACAGGGUCCAGUGUCAUAUGUGUAGAUAAAGUGAUGGUAUCCUUUAAUGCUGAAACUGGACUUGGGAGAAGGCCAAUUGGGCACACGUGUGGUGCUACUCUUGAGGGGAAAAACGAUCUGUCUAGUUACUGGACCAGAUAAAAUGAGACGGAGAGGUAAUAAAGUCUGUCGGCACGAGGACCUUGGAUUUAUAAAGUAAAGUGGCAACGGUUAUACAGAGUCAUAAAGCGUGAGAAAUCGAAUAUGUCUAAGUCCCUGAUCAGCGCUGAUGGUUCGUCCAGAGCUUCGCCUCCGUGGAAGGUCUGCUCCAGAAGAAGAUGAAAAGUCCCUGUGUGAUACAGUCUUAUGCUGUAUCCUCCUCUCGAUGAGGUGUGUGCAUUUGAGAUGUGUGUGGUUCUGUGUGUUUUUGCUUGACCUUGGCUCUCAGGCCCUGGGGUGUGCAUGUGUAUCUUCUUGUGUUCCUCCUAACGGGGAGAGCUCUUAAAAUGUCUCCUGUGUGAUAAAUUAAAACGGGGGAGUGCCCCCCCCGAAGUGUCUCCUGUGUGAUAAUUUAAUGUGGCUCUCCCGUUCUUGAGGAUGACUGGUGCAUUGUCUGAGUGUCUACCAUUUGCCUGGAUGGGGAAAUGGGGCCUUCGGCUCCGGCCUUGACCUGACUAUAUUAUCAUGUUUGUGUUAUGUGUUUGUUGGGUUAGAGCAAGAGUUGACUAUAUUGUAAUGUGUCUGCCAUGUGAUGUGCUCAUCAGGCUAGGGUAGGAGUUAGCUAUAUUUGUAAUGUACAUGUGAUGUACUCAGCAGGUUAUUUUUCCCAACACUCUUGAGGUUCCUUGCACAUAUAGCUCUUUCCCUGAAUUCAGGACAGAGCUUGAUAACGUCCUCUCAAGCAAUUACUUCGAGAUGGAUAUAAUCUAAAAGUCUUUUAUGUUUAUUUUGUCAUUUGUGAGUUAUUUUCUGUUCUCUAAAAUACCUGUUCUUGCUGGUAAAAUGCUUACAUAAUGACAUUCUUUCUGUUGAAAUGUUAGUUUGUAUGUCCAUAGUCCAUAUCUAUUUUUGUACUACCAGCAUGACUAUACGGCAGCCAAAUUUGUAUUUCCUCACCUUUAAUUGGAAAUCAUAGUAAUGAUUGAUUUAAUAAGAAAAAGUGCAGUAGUUUAAGGCCUACACAACCUCCAAGGCUGAGAUUAGAUGAAAUUGAUUGGCUAUGUGGGACAUAUCACUGAGAUUUCAACAGAAACCAUGGCAAAUUAUGUGUGGGUGUGUGAUGUGGUUACCAUACCAAACUUUGGGUGAUGCAUGUGUUCCAUUUACUCAAAAUACAAAAAUGUGCAUUUUUUUGUGCAUAUUUGCAUAGACCUUUUUGUGCAACUCAGUCAAAUUAGUUCAAAAAUGUAAAACCUUUUUUAAGUUGCUGUUUUCAAAAGGGGCUUGUUUGAUGCAAGGACUGCACUUUCACAAGGUGAUGUGAACAAAUGUGAUCAAGCACUUUUUGUAACUUUAAUUAUGCUCGACAAUCUUUUGUGUCUAGCCCAUUAUAUACAUUUAUUCAGAGGUACUCGUUUCCUUAGAAGUUGAGAUCACCCCACACUAUUGUUUUCUUUUUCAUUUUUGGAAGAACUGUACAUUAAAGUGAGCAAGCAUUUUUCAGAUUCUGCUUUGUGUAUGAAAGUGUCUGCUGAAUUUCUUCAACUCCAUGUUCUAUUCAAUUGUAUACCUUCAAUUGCUAUCUCUAACAAAAACCAAACCAACAAAGCCAAAAAGUAGUUUAACCCUGACGGGCUAUGUGCUGUGGGACACUAAAUUUCAACACCUGUCUGUAAGCUGCACUGUGUCCAUUACAGUAGGAGGGUUUGUUUGCUGCAGGUGAAUGUCCACUGUUAGUGGAGCGGGAGAAAUCCAGACUUAAAACUCCAGGUGCAACUAUUCAACCAGAAAAUGAGUCCAGUAAAGGUAAAAGUUGUCCAUGAACAUAUCAGUUUUAUUCAGGUAUCUACAGACAGGGAUGCACUAUAGGUGAGUCCAAUGGUAGGGCAGUGGGUGUGUGAAUACUGUAGGUCACAUUUGCAGAGCAGUAGUAAUGACACCUCUCAAGUGCAUGUACAAGUUAACAGCCUGAUAAGGAUCCUCAGGUAGAUGCAGAUGUGAUUCGACCAUGAUAUCAUUGCAGAGUGAAUAAACAUCUCGAUCACAGGGAAUGGGCUCUCGAAAGAUGCACUCAGUCUUGCAUACACCCAGAUGUUCACUCUGAACAGGACAAAGGUGGUCUCUAACAUUAUACAGUUGUGGGAUGGCAUACAUGAUAUUAGGCCGGCCGCUAGGGACAUUAGUAUUUCUUGAUGGCCUGAUGGUAUGGGCGUUCCAGGUCUGUGCUGUGUCAUCUAAUUCAUCCUGGUGAGACAAAUUGUGACAAUUAGGAAAGAUUGCAGCAUAGUUAACCCGUCAGCCCAUAGCACCCCUAAAGCCCCGAAAUCCAUACAUCAAGCAACAGACGUCAUUUCACUAUUUAGACACAGGUAAAUAGCAUUUGUAGUAAAAUUCAUGAAAUGAGAACAACUAAAUGCUCAGAUUAAACAAUGUAGGGCCAGUUUGUAAGACAUCAACGGUCUAAAAAAUAAUACAAAUUUAGGCUUAGUCGAUAGUAAUAAACAUGUGUGUUCUCUCUGGCAAGUAGGCCAGGCCUAGUGGCAGUGUUGGGUGAAACUCAUUACAAAAGAAAGCUAUUGCAGGUUAGAUGUUGAUGUUAUGCAGUAAUGUACGGUGGCGCUGAGCAUUCACCAACAAAAAAAAAG